rnacentral:misc_RNA from 1 species
AAGUCGUAACAAGGUUUCCGUAGGUGAACCUGCGGAAGGAUCAUUAACACGUAUCCAACGUUAAACAACCCUGUGAACUUUCAACACCGCCGGAAUGAGAUUAAUUUCCAACUCCGGUGAAGGCAAGUGACCUGGCACCUGGACCACAUCAAAGCUCUGACAGAGUGCCUCUGGAUCGUGCUUGAAGGGUGACGCAGUAACGAUCGCUGGAGGCCCACACGGCCGGCGACUGGGUCAGCGAGCUAACGCUCCCUCAACAACCACUUAACAUGACGACAGUUCCUCUUUAACUUGAGUUGAGCUAUAACAAAAAACUAUACAACUGUUAACAAUGGAUAUCUUGGUUCUC